rnacentral:rRNA from 1 species
GAGUUUGAUCCUGGCUCAGAGCGAACGCUGGCGGCAGGCUUAACACAUGCAAGUCGAGCGCCUGUAGCAAUACAGGAGCGGCAGACGGGAGAGUAACACGUGGGAACAUGCCCUUCGGUUCGGAAUAACUCAGGGAAACUUGAGCUAAUACCGGAUACGUCCGUAAGGAGAAAGAUUUAUUGCCGAAGGAUUGGCCCGCGUCCGAUUAGCUAGUUGGUGAGGUAACGGCUCACCAAGGCGACGAUCGGUAGCUGGUCUGAGAGGAUGAUCAGCCUCAUUGGGACUGAGACACGGCCCAAACUCCUACGGGAGGCAGCAGUGGGGAAUAUUGGACAAUGGGCGCAAGCCUGAUCCAGCCAUGCCGCGUGGGUGAUGAAGGCCUUAGGGUUGUAAAGCCCUUUCGGCGGGGAAGAUAAUGACGGUACCCGCAGAAGAAGCCCCGGCUAACUUCGUGCCAGCAGCCGCGGUAAUACGUAGGUGGCUAGCGUUGUCCGGAUUUACUGGGCGUAAAGAGCGCGCAGGCGGUCGUUCAAGUCGAGUGUGAAAGCCCCCGGCUCAACUGGGGAGGGUCACUCGAUACUGAUCGACUCGAAGGCAGGAGAGGGAAGCGGAAUUCCCGGUGUAGUGGUGAAAUGCGUAGAUAUCGGGAGGAACACCAGUGGCGAAGGCGGCUUUCUGGCCUGUUCUUGACGCUGAGGCGCGAAAGCUAGGGUAGCAAACGGGAUUAGAUACCCCGGUAGUCCUAGCCGUAAACGAUGGACACUAGGUGUUGGUGGUAUCAACCCCGCCAGUGCCGAAGCUAACGCAUUAAGUGUCCCGCCUGGGGAGUACGGCCGCAAGGCUAAAACUCAAAGGAAUUGACGGGGACCUGCACAAGCGGUGGAGCAUGUGGUUUAAUUCGACGGUAAGCGAGGAACCUUACCAAGGCUUGACAUGUACCUGCAUACGUCUGGAAACAGCGUAGCCUUCGAGGGUGGUACACAGGUGCUGCACGGUUGUCGUCAGCUCGUGCCGUGAGGUGUUCACUUAAGUGUGAAAACGAGCGCAACCCCUAUUGCAAGUUACAAGUGUCUUGCGAAACUGCCGGCGUCUAAGCCGGAGGAAGGUGGGGAUGACGUCAAAUCAGCGUGGCUCUUACGCCUUGGGCGACACACGUGCUACAAUGGGAUGGAACAAAGGGACGCCAAGCAGUAAUGCGGAGCAAAUCCUUUAAAACAUCCCCCAGUUCGGAUUGAGGGCUGCAACUCGCCCUCAUGAAGCCGGAAUCGCUAGUAACCGUAGAUCAGCCUCGCUACGGUGAAUACGUUCUCAGGUUUUGCACACAC